UAGGGAAUAUUGCGCAAUGGGCGAAAGCCUGACGCAGCAACGCCGCGUGGGUGAUGAAGCUUCUUGGAGUGUAAAACCCUGUCAGUGGGGAAGAAACGUAUCGGGAGUCACUGCCCGGUACCUGACGGUACCCACAGAGGAAGUCCCGGCUAACUCCGUGCCAGCAGCCGCGGUAAUACGGGGGGGACAAGCGUUGUUCGGAUUCACUGGGCGUAAAGGGCGCGUAGGCGGGCCUUCAAGUCCGGUGUGAAAACUGGCAGCUCAACGGCCUGCGUGCUCUUGAGACUGUCGGUCUUGAGUACAGUAGGGGAAAGUGGAAUUCCAGGUGUAGCGGUGAAAUGCGUAGAUAUCUGGAAGAACACCGGUAGCGAAGGCGACUUGCUGGCCUGAUACUGACGCUGAAGCGCGAAGGCUAGGGUAGCAAACA
rnacentral:rRNA from 1 species